rnacentral:rRNA from 1 species
UGGGGAAUCUUGGACAAUGGGCGAAAGCCUGAUCCAGCCAUGCCGCGUGAGGGAGGAAGGCUCUUGGGUUGUAAACCUCUUUUCUCAAGGAAGAUAAUGACGGUACUUGAGGAAUCAGCAUCGGCUAACUCCGUGCCAGCAGCCGCGGUAAUACGGAGGAUGCAAGCGUUAUCCGGAAUAAUUGGGCGUAAAGCGUACGUAGGUGGUUUUGUAAGUCUGCUGUUAAAGCGUGUAGCUCAACUACAUAUAGGCGGUGGAAACUACAAAACUAGAGUGCGUUCGGGGCAGAGGGAAUUCCUGGUGUAGCGGUGAAAUGCGUAGAUAUCAGGAAGAACACCGGUGGCGAAGGCGCUCUGCUAGGCCGCAACUGACACUGAGGGACGAAAGCUAGGGGAGCGAAUGGGAUUAGAUACCCCCGUAGUCC